UACGAGGGGGGCAAGCGUUGUCCGGAUUUACUGGGCGUAAAGAGCGCGCAGGCGGUCGUUCAAGUCGCGUGUGAAAGCCCCCGGCUCAACUGGGGAGGGUCACGCGAUACUGAUCGACUCGAAGGCAGGAGAGGGAAGUGGAAUUCCCGGUGUAGUGGUGAAAUGCGUAGAUAUCGGGAGGAACACCAGUGGCGAAGGCGACUUCCUGGCCUGUUCUUGACGCUGAGGCGCGAAAGCUAGGGGAGCAAACGGG
rnacentral:rRNA from 1 species